AGCGAACGCUGGCGGCAGGCCUAACACAUGCAAGUCGAACGAAGUCUUCGAACUUAGUGGCGGACGGGUGAGUAACACGUGGGAACGUGCCUUUAGGUUCGGAAUAACUCAGGGAAACUUGUGCUAAUACCGAAUGUGCCCUUCGGGGGAAAGAUUUAUCGCCUUUAGAGCGGCCCGCGUCUGAUUAGCUAGUUGGUGAGGUAAAGGCUCACCAAGGCGACGAUCAGUAGCUGGUCUGAGAGGAUGAUCAGCCACAUUGGGACUGAGACACGGCCCAAACUCCUACGGGAGGCAGCAGUGGGGAAUCUUGCGCAAUGGGCGAAAGCCUGACGCAGCCAUGCCGCGUGAAUGAUGAAGGUCUUAGGAUUGUAAAAUUCUUUCACCGGGGACGAUAAUGACGGUACCCGGAGAAGAAGCCCCGGCUAACUUCGUGCCAGCCGCCGCGGCAAGAC
rnacentral:rRNA from 1 species